rnacentral:tRNA from 1 species
GUUUUCUUAGUAUAACAAAUACUAAUAAUUUCCAAUUAUUAAACUCAAGUUAAACCCUUGAAGAAAACA